GUAGUUGGCCGGUGCUUCUUCUACCCCUACCGUCACUCACGCUUCGUCGGGGCCGAAAGAGGUUUACAAUCCGAAAACCUUCUUCCCUCACGCGGCGUUGCUGGGUCAGGCUUGCGCCCAUUGCCCAAUAUUCCCCACUGCUGCCUCCCGUAGGAGUCUGGACCGUGUCUCAGUUCCAGUGUGGCCGAUCAGCCUCUCAGCUCGGCUACCCAUCGCAGGCUUGGUGGGCUGUUAUCUCACCAACUACCUAAUGGGACGCGAACCCCUCCUUCAGCGGAUUGCUCCUUUGACCUCAUCCCGAUGCCGGGUCGUGGUCUUAUGCGGUAUUAGCACUUGUUUCCAGGUGUUAUCCCCCUCUGAAGGUCAGGUUGUUCACGCGUUACUCACCCGUUCGCCACUAAAAUUUAUCUUCCAUCCGAAAACUUCUGAUAAAUCUCCGUUCGACUUGCAUGUGUUAGGCACGCCGCCAGCGUUCGUCCUGAGCCAGGAUCAAACUCUGA
rnacentral:rRNA from 1 species